AUCACGCUGCUCAUUGGCUCCUAAAACAGUGGAGGCUCUCAUAUGUACUCAAAAUUGGCUAAAUUCUGAUCCAAUACAUCUUCAAUUUCAACAUGAAUUGGAAGAGGCUUCAAAAUUUGAAGAAGGAUUUCGGGUGGUUAUGGAGAAUGAAAAGGAGCUUGAAGACCUUCUAGAUUUUGAUAAGUUGUCAACUACCGAUUAUUAACUAAUUCUGAUCCAAGACUUGUAAUAUUUCUAUUGACUAGAUUAUCAUAGUGUUUUUGUUCAUACUUUGGUUGUAUUUGUGACUAUUAAUAGUAAUGUGGUGAACUGAAUUGAACUUGGAUGUUUCUAACCCUAUAAUAUUUGAUAUAUAUUUCAUUUUGGUAGUA